rnacentral:rRNA from 1 species
UACGGAGGGUGCUAGCGUUGUUCGGAAUCACUGGGCGUAAAGCGCGUGUAGGCGGUCUGCUAAGUCUGAUGUGAAAGCCCGGGGCUCACCCCCGGAAGUGCAUUGGAAACUGACAGACUGGAGUCCCGGAGAGGAGGGUGGAAUUCCUGGUGUAGCGGUGAAAUGCGUAGAUAUCGGGAAGAACACCCGUGGCGAAGGCGGCUCUCUGGGACGGUACUGACGCUGAGACGCGAAAGCGUGGGGAGCGAACAGG